rnacentral:rRNA from 1 species
GUGGGGAAUUUUGCGCAAUGGGGGAAACCCUGACGCAGCAACGCCGCGUGAGUGAUGAAGGCCUUCGGGUCGUAAAGCUCUGUCAGAGGGGAAGAAGUGUGGGGUGGCUAAUAUCCAUUUCACUUGACGGUACCUUCAAAGGAAGCACCGGCUAACUCCGUGCCAGCAGCCGCGGUAAUACGGAGGGUGCGAGCGUUGUUCGGAAUUAUUGGGCGUAAAGCGCGUGUAGGCGGUUUUUUAAGUCUGAUGUGAAAGCCCUGGGCUCAACCCGGGAAGUGCAUUGGAAACUGGGAGACUUGAAUACGGGAGAGGGCAGUGGAAUUCCUGGUGUAGGAGUGAAAUCCGUAGAUAUCAGGAGGAACACCGGUGGCGAAGGCGGCUGCCUGGACCGAUAUUGACGCUGAGACGCGAAAGCGUGGGGAGCAAACAGGAUUAGAAACCCUUGUAGUCC